AAACUUAAAGGAAUUGACGGGGACCCGCACAAGCAGCGGAGCGUGUGGUUUAAUUCGUUGCUACACGAAGAACCUUACCUGGGUUUGACAUAUAGGUUGUAGGGAACUGAAAGGGACCGACCCUUCGGGGAGCCUAUACAGGUGUUGCAUGGCUGUCGUCAGCUCGUGUCGUGAGAUGUUCGGUUAAGUCCGCUAACGAGCGCAACCCUCGUCGUAUGUUAUAUGUGUCAUACGAGACUGCCGGUAAAAAGCCGGAGGAAGGUGAGGAUGAUGUCAAGUCAGCAUGACCUUUAUAUCCAGGGCUACACACACGCUACAAUGGUCUGUACAAUGGGUAGCCAAGCCGCGAGGCGGAGCCAAUCCUGAAAGCAGGCCUCAGUCCAGAUUGCAGUCUGCAACUCGACUGCAUGAAGCCGGAGUUGCUAGUAACCGCAGGUCAGCAAUACUGCGGUGAAUAUGUUCCCGGGUCUU
rnacentral:rRNA from 1 species